UGUAGGGAGGUUGGAAGGAGGAGUUUUUGGCUGGUUUUCUCUCCUCCUCCACUGUGAAGCCCAUUUUGCCUCUAAGUCCCUAGAAUUGCUUUAAUUUGCACAAAUUUCAGCUUGAGGAGUGCUGUUCCAGCAGAGCUUCAGCAGCGAUUGUCGGUGUUUCAGCUCGUGUGCGACGUAAGAAGCUCCGUUUUCCACGAAACUUGGUUUGUUGGAUUCAGGACUUCGAGAGGAAUCCAUGGAGCCCAAUUUGAUAGAAUUUGGUUGAGAGAGCUGGAGUUGAGAUCUGAACCUUGUGUACUUUCAUUCUCCAUUGGAUUUGGGACCUGCCUUCAUCGACUUUGAGCCUUAGAAGGUAAUUUUGACAUUGAAGUUGAGAUAAUGUAAGCUUAAGUGUCAAAAAUUGUAUUACUUGAUGGAUUUUAAUGUUUAGAGACUUGGAGGAAGUUGAUUUCUGGUCCUUGGGGUUUCGGCUGGUUCCAGCAGGGUAUUCUUCAACUUCGUGACCCCCUCGCUGUCGAGGAUUAGCAUUGAAGGUAGGUUAAUCAUCGGUGUUACUCCUAAGUGUAAGUUUAGUCAACGUGUAUGAUUUUCAGCUUUUGUCUACUAUGUGGUUAGCUUGAAUUUGUCGAUUA